AAAUGAAUGGCCGCGGUACUCUGACCGUGCUAAGGUAGCAUAAUCAGUUGGCUUUUAAAUGGAGUCGGGUAUGAAUGGGAUAACCGGGCUUAGCUGUCUCAAAAUUAUUUAUUUGAAUUUACUGUCUAGGUGAAAAAGCCUAGGUAUAUUAAAGGGACGAGAAGACCCUUAGAAUUUUGUUUAAAGUAAUUACCAAUACUUGCUGUGAUUUUGUUGGGGCGACAGAGAAAUAUUUAAAACUUUCUUUUAAUCAAUCAGCCGGAUUUUUCAAGAUAGUAUAAAUUCGCCUGUUUAUCAAAAACAUGAUGCAAGGUGUUGGUAAAAAAAACCGGUUGACGGAUAAGGG
rnacentral:rRNA from 1 species